UACGUAGGGUGCAAGCGUUGUCCGGAAUUAUUGGGCGUAAAGAGCUCGUAGGCGGUCUGUCGCGUCUGCUGUGAAAACUCAGGGCUUAACCCUGAGCUUGCAGUGGGUACGGGCAGACUAGAGUGCGGUAGGGGAGACUGGAAUUCCUGGUGUAGCGGUGAAAUGCGCAGAUAUCAGGAGGAACACCGGGGGCGAAGGCGGGUCUCUGGGCCGGUACUGACGCUGAGGAGCGAAAGCGUGGGUAGCAAGCAGG
rnacentral:rRNA from 1 species